UUCUGUUUUACUGGCUGGCUGAGAGUCACUGUGAGUCCCAGGAAAAGGGGUGCAUGGUCGGACUCCCCCUCACUCCGUGACAAUCUGCACUCGGGACUUGCAGACAGA